GCGGGGGUGCCCGAGCCAGGAUAAAGGGGGCGGUCGGCCCAUCCGCUGGCGUAGGCCUGCCCGGGUUCGAAUCCCGGCCCCCGCACCA
rnacentral:tRNA from 1 species